rnacentral:rRNA from 1 species
GGUUAAGCGACUAAGCGUACACGGUGGAUGCCCUGGCAGUCAGAGGCGAUGAAGGACGUGCUAAUCUGCGAUAAGCGUCGGUAAGGUGAUAUGAACCGUUAUAACCGGCGAUUUCCGAAUGGGGAAACCCAGUGUGAUUCGUCACACUAUCAUUAACUGAAUCCAUAGGUUAAUGAGGCGAACCGGGGGAACUGAAACAUCUAAGUACCCCGAGGAAAAGAAAUCAACCGAGAUUCCCCCAGUAGCGGCGAGCGAACGGGGAGCAGCCCAGAGCCUGAAUCAGUGUGUGUGUUAGUGGAAGCGUCUGGAAAGGCGCGCGAUACAGGGUGACAGCCCCGUACACAAAAAUGCACAUGCUGUGAGCUCGAUGAGUAGGGCGGGACACGUGGUAUCCUGUCUGAAUAUGGGGGGACCAUCCUCCAAGGCUAAAUACUCCUGACUGACCGAUAGUGAACCAGUACCGUGAGGGAAAGGCGAAAAGAACCCCGGCGAGGGGAGUGAAAAAGAACCUGAAACCGUGUACGUACAAGCAGUGGGAGCCUCUUUAUGGGGUGACUGCGUACCUUUUGUAUAAUGGGUCAGCGACUUAUAUUCUGUAGCAAGGUUAACCGAAUAGGGGAGCCGAAGGGAAACCGAGUCUUAACUGGGCGUUAAGUUGCAGGGUAUAGACCCGAAACCCGGUGAUCUAGCCAUGGGCAGGUUGAAGGUUGGGUAACACUAACUGGAGGACCGAACCGACUAAUGUUGAAAAAUUAGCGGAUGACUUGUGGCUGGGGGUGAAAGGCCAAUCAAACCGGGAGAUAGCUGGUUCUCCCCGAAAGCUAUUUAGGUAGCGCCUCGUGAAUUCAUCUCCGGGGGUAGAGCACUGUUUCGGCAAGGGGGUCAUCCCGACUUACCAACCCGAUGCAAACUGCGAAUACCGGAGAAUGUUAUCACGGGAGACACACGGCGGGUGCUAACGUCCGUCGUGAAGAGGGAAACAACCCAGACCGCCAGCUAAGGUCCCAAAGUCAUGGUUAAGUGGGAAACGAUGUGGGAAGGCCCAGACAGCCAGGAUGUUGGCUUAGAAGCAGCCAUCAUUUAAAGAAAGCGUAAUAGCUCACUGGUCGAGUCGGCCUGCGCGGAAGAUGUAACGGGGCUAAACCAUGCACCGAAGCUGCGGCAGCGACACUAUGUGUUGUUGGGUAGGGGAGCGUUCUGUAAGCCUGCGAAGGUGUACUGUGAGGUAUGCUGGAGGUAUCAGAAGUGCGAAUGCUGACAUAAGUAACGAUAAAGCGGGUGAAAAGCCCGCUCGCCGGAAGACCAAGGGUUCCUGUCCAACGUUAAUCGGGGCAGGGUGAGUCGACCCCUAAGGCGAGGCCGAAAGGCGUAGUCGAUGGGAAACAGGUUAAUAUUCCUGUACUUGGUGUUACUGCGAAGGGGGGACGGAGAAGGCUAUGUUGGCCGGGCGACGGUUGUCCCGGUUUAAGCGUGUAGGCUGGUUUUCCAGGCAAAUCCGGAAAAUCAAGGCUGAGGCGUGAUGACGAGGCACUACGGUGCUGAAGCAACAAAUGCCCUGCUUCCAGGAAAAGCCUCUAAGCAUCAGGUAACAUCAAAUCGUACCCCAAACCGACACAGGUGGUCAGGUAGAGAAUACCAAGGCGCUUGAGAGAACUCGGGUGAAGGAACUAGGCAAAAUGGUGCCGUAACUUCGGGAGAAGGCACGCUGAUACGUAGGUGAAGCGACUUGCUCGUGGAGCUGAAAUCAGUCGAAGAUACCAGCUGGCUGCAACUGUUUAUUAAAAACACAGCACUGUGCAAACACGAAAGUGGACGUAUACGGUGUGACGCCUGCCCGGUGCCGGAAGGUUAAUUGAUGGGGUUAGCGGUAACGCGAAGCUCUUGAUCGAAGCCCCGGUAAACGGCGGCCGUAACUAUAACGGUCCUAAGGUAGCGAAAUUCCUUGUCGGGUAAGUUCCGACCUGCACGAAUGGCGUAAUGAUGGCCAGGCUGUCUCCACCCGAGACUCAGUGAAAUUGAACUCGCUGUGAAGAUGCAGUGUACCCGCGGCAAGACGGAAAGACCCCGUGAACCUUUACUAUAGCUUGACACUGAACAUUGAGCCUUGAUGUGUAGGAUAGGUGGGAGGCUUUGAAGUGUGGACGCCAGUCUGCAUGGAGCCGACCUUGAAAUACCACCCUUUAAUGUUUGAUGUUCUAACGUUGGCCCCUAUCGGGGUUGCGGACAGUGUCUGGUGGGUAGUUUGACUGGGGCGGUCUCCUCCUAAAGAGUAACGGAGGAGCACGAAGGUUGGCUAAUCCUGGUCGGACAUCAGGAGGUUAGUGCAAUGGCAUAAGCCAGCUUGACUGCGAGCGUGACGGCGCGAGCAGGUGCGAAAGCAGGUCAUAGUGAUCCGGUGGUUCUGAAUGGAAGGGCCAUCGCUCAACGGAUAAAAGGUACUCCGGGGAUAACAGGCUGAUACCGCCCAAGAGUUCAUAUCGACGGCGGUGUUUGGCACCUCGAUGUCGGCUCAUCACAUCCUGGGGCUGAAGUAGGUCCCAAGGGUAUGGCUGUUCGCCAUUUAAAGUGGUACGCGAGCUGGGUUUAGAACGUCGUGAGACAGUUCGGUCCCUAUCUGCCGUGGGCGCUGGAGAACUGAGGGGGGCUGCUCCUAGUACGAGAGGACCGGAGUGGACGCAUCACUGGUGUUCGGGUUGUCAUGCCAAUGGCACUGCCCGGUAGCUAAAUGCGGAAGAGAUAAGUGCUGAAAGCAUCUAAGCACGAAACUUGCCCCGAGAUGAGUUCUCCCUGACUCCCUGAGAGUCCUGAAGGAACGUUGAAGACGACGACGUUGAUAGGCCGGGUGUGUAAGCGCAGCGAUGCGUUGAGCUAACCGGUACUAAUGAACCGUGAGGCUUAACCUU